CGCUACGCAACCAUCGAGCAGGCACACUUCGUCUGUUUCAUAAUUCGACUCCAUAGAAAGCAUUUAAAAAUGUUAUAUUCAGAAAUAAAGAAAGGUUUUCCUCAUAUAGAGACGAUCAAGGUGACUAAUCAAGAUGCAAAGCAGAAAUAAAAAUCUCUCCCCAGAGAACGUUAUCCUCAGUCAUUCACUAAUGCAGUACAUCGAUGUAGUACGAAACUUGAUUCCUGCGAAGAUCUCUAUACAUAUUACCCAUCAACAAUAAUAAAAACAAAACAAAAAACCCGCUUAAAAAAUGUGAAUUUUCAAUAGUUUCGCACAAAACCAUUAAAGGAAUUUCUUCCGAAGAGGACUGUUUAUUAUAUGAAAAUCUGUAGUUACAUCUAGUUCUUCAUUUGUGGUGACUGAGCUAUCAUCAGAAUAAAAGUGAUGGUUUUCAUCUGUUUCAGGCACAAUUCCGAGAAAAAUUUUAAAAAAUCAGUAAUGUUUACGAAGACGAAGUGUCGUUUUAAACCAUAGAAAAGUAAAAUGGUCUUACCUGUAUCUUCUGUACGUAUGACAGAGAAAAAAUGAAUUGCGAGUAGCCAGAACCACAUGCCACCGACUUGUGUUUGCUUCUAACCCUUCAGCAGAUGGAACAUGUGAUAAGUCACGUGGCAUAAGGUAGCCAUGACAACCUGCCGGACACAACAGUUUAUUGUGGACCAUCAAUGUGACAAACAUUUUUUAUCCCUUUCACUGGCAGAUUCGUUUAGUGGCAUCUAGUGGUGGGAUGAUCUUCGAACUGAAUUCUCUGAGCCACGCGCUUAUUCUGAAAGUGGACCUGAAUUUAAAAGAUCUUGCCUUUGAUUAAUUGAUUAUUUCACUGGCUCAAGGCUCAACUGAGAGCAUUCAACACCACUAAGAAAAACUGAUUACCAAGAUCAUCACGACAUAUUUGUGUGGUUCAAAACGUCGGCAGUAUGUCCACACCAAACAUUAUGUCAAAGACUAA